AAAGUCGUUUCAUGGGAUACUGGUCUUUCAGUUUGCUCUCUUAAAGACUCCAGGCUUCUCAAAGUGACUAAAAGUUGCGUUCAGUUCUUCUAAAUAAAAUAAUGUUUGGAUAUUUCUUUACAACAAACACAACCACGAUAUAAUUCUGAAUUACAUCAGCAGUGACUGGUUGCACUUUCGCAUAAAUACAAAGGCCAAUACUGACUGCAUAUGUAUCGGAUGCCCUGCGAAGAGUUCCUCUCCAGAACACUGUUUCGCAGCAUAAAGAGAAUCUGUACAGUACAUAGGAAAUGACUCAUGGGCGCUGAACCCAGCGCGUGGGUGUGGACGCAGUUAAAACAGCAGACUUGGGGUGAGUCAUUCACAUGCUCACUUUGCCAUGCUAGAAGCCAGUUACUUUAUUUUACCAAACUGGAAUUUUACUAUAGCCCACUAGGUUAAAUGGAUGUACACACUCUUUUUCGUGCCCUUUGUUUGGUUCUUGUGGCGGGAACGCAUUUACGUGGAAUAAAAGCGGAAAAAGAUCCUGCCUGUAAAAAAUUUGAGUUUUUGAACAGCGAUAUUGAUGAAUGUAUACCUUGCUCUAUAUGCCUACAGUAUCCCAAAACUCCAUCAUGUGAAACAUGUCCACAUAUUGAACCUCGGGAUUCCUGGAGGGUGGCAGCCAUUACCAGUUUUUCAGUGCUGGCAGCUGUGGUCGUUUUUGGGGCUUUGCUUAUAGGAGUGCUAGUGCAUCAGUGCAGAUCCAGAAGAACCUUACGUGAGCCAAUAGAGGAAACUACAGGACCUCUUUAUCCAGUAUAAGCACAUCAUUUAAGAAAAGCUUAAGGAAUACAUCAUAAAAAGACAGUACAUCAAAGUGAGCUGUUCAUUCAGCGAACCAGUGAUACACUGGCUAUAGUGUUAAGUAGCAUGUGACACUCCUAAUUUAUCAUAUUGGUAAAUUAAACAUAGCGGUGAUUAAUGCACCCCAGAAUAUGCAGAUGUACUGUCACCGUGAUCUCAGAAACCACACUGAGACAUUGUCAUUCACUGUGCAAAAGGUAUGAGAAAAUUGGAGGUGCCGAGUACAAUCCUCUACACCUCUACACAGCAGCUGGAUGCCUUAUGAUGGACAAAUGGAUUUGUUCUGACCUCUGUGUUGACUUUAUAUGGUGACCUAUAUUGAUAGGCAUUAUCUUUUAAAGUGUUAAGGUCCUUGCUUUGGUUUUUAUACUGCCUUUUAAAAAAAUAUUUGUGACACCUAUACACUUAAAAUGCCCAUUUAUCCCCAACCUGUUUUUUUUUUUAAAUAAUGCAGAUUUCCAGUAAAAACUUAACUUGCCGGGACUGUAGCGUAGGAGUAAGGGCUGUACCUCACACAGCAGUAUAUUUUGUACAAUACCUAUUUACCUCUGCAUUAGAUUUAUUCUGACGUAUGGCCUACUGAAUGUAUUGUAUAAUCAAUGUUUUUUAUAGGUCAAUGAUCUGUUUUAUAUUUGAAAUGUAGUCAUUAUGUAAAUGAAUGUUCUGAGACCGACAGGCUAUGUAGCCUGUCUGUGGCGUUAGUUGCAGGAAAGGUGGCACCUAUGUGGAUACCAGUGGGAUCCUCAAAAGCUGCUAAUAGCCUGUGAAACAGUCGUGUAUGUAGCCAGCAAACCACCGUGAAUCCACUUGUCUCAGUUAUUCUCCAUUUCUUGUCUGAAAUGUUGCCUCUAAAUUAUGUGAGAAAUUAAAAUGGUUUACACAGCUCCAAAAUGUAGGCUAGUUCACUGAAAUCACAUCAGCCUUCACCAGUUAACUUUUUUGUUACAAAUGAGACCUACUCAUCUUUCUUCUGACAUUUAGCAAAGAUUAAAAACAAAGUUAACAAAUGUGCAAUAUUACAUAUGCAUAAAGGUUUUAUAUCCAGUGGUCCCUGUUAAGAGUAAUGGGUGAAGUCAAUAUUAUAUAACACCAUAUCUUUGUCCCUUAUCAACUAUUUGUUUUGGUGUUGGACUGCAUUUGUAAGCAAUAAACUGAGACGACUGUCAUG